rnacentral:rRNA from 1 species
GACGAACGCUGGCGGCGUGCUUAACACAUGCAAGUCGAACGGAAAGGCCCUGCUUGCAGGGUACUCGAGUGGCGAACGGGUGAGUAACACGUGGGUGAUCUGCCCUGCACUUCGGGAUAAGCCUGGGAAACUGGGUCUAAUACCGGAUAGGAGCCAUUUUUAGUGUGAUGGUUGGAAAGUUUUUUCGGUGUAGGAUGAGCUCGCGGCCUAUCAGCUUGUUGGUGGGGUAAUGGCCUACCAAGGCGGCGACGGGUAGCCGGCCUGAGAGGGUGGACGGGCACAUUGGGACUGAGAUACGGCCCAGACUCCUACGGGAGGCAGCAGUGGGGAAUGGUGCAAAAUGGGCGCAAGCCUGAUGCAGCGACGCCGCGUGGGGGAGGACGGCCUUCGGGUUGUAAACUCCUUUCGCUAGGGACGAAGCUGUUUGUGACGGUACCUAGAUAAGAAGCACCGGCUAACUACGUG